GCUAUGAUAUUAGAACCGCUGUAACUUUCUCACUCAUCAUUAUUAAUGAUUAAUUCAGAAUUUUCUGUAACCAUGGUACCACACACACACACACACACAGUGUGUAUAUACAGUGCCUUUGGAAAGUGUUCAGAUCCCUUGACUUUUUCCACAUUUUGCUACAUUUGCCUUAUUAUGAAAUGGAUGAAAUAAAUAAAAAUCCUCAGCAAUCUAGACACAAUACCCCGUAUUGACAAAGCAAAAACAGGUUUUGAGAAAAUGUCUAAAUAUAAAACUAUUUACAUACACUACCAGUCAAAAGUUUGGACACCUACUCAUUCCAGGGUUUUUCUUUAUUUUUACUAUUUUCUACAUUGUAAAAUAAUAGUGAAUACUUCAAGUAUGAAUACAUCAAGUUAAUACAUGGAAUCAUGUAGUAACCAAAAAAGUGUUAAAUAAAUCUAAAUAUAUUUGAGAUUCUUCAAAUUAGCCACCCUUUGCCAUGAUGACAGCUUUACACACUCUUGGCAUUCUUUCAACCAGCUUCAUGGGUAAUCACCUGGAAUGCAUUUCAAUAAACAGGUGUGCCUUGUUAGAAGGUAAUUUGUGGAAUUUCUUUCCUUAAUGCGUUUUGAGCCAAUCAGUUGUGUUGUGACAGGGUAGGGGUGGUAUACAGAAGAUGGCCCUAUUUGGUAAAAUACAAAGUCCAUGUUAUGGCAAGAACAGCUCAAAUAAGCAAAGAGAAAUGACAGUCCAUACUUAAAUUAAGACAUGAAGGUCAGUCAAUAUGGAAAAUGUCAAGAACUUUUAAAGUUCCUUCAAGUGCAGUCGCAAAAACCAUCAAGCGCUAUGAUGAAACUAGCUCUCAUGAAGACCGCAACCGGAAAGGAAGACCCAGAGUUACCUCUGCUGCAGGGGAUAAGUUCAUUAGAGUUACCAGCCUCAGAAAUUGCAGCCCAAAUAAAUUCUUCAGAGUUCAAGUAACAGACACAUAUCAACGUCAACUGUUCAUAGGAGACUGCGUGAAUUAGGCCUUCGUGGUAAAUUGCUGCAAACAAACCACUACUAAAGGACACCAAUAAGAAGAAGAGACUUGCUUAUGCCAAGAAACAUGAGCAAUGGACAUUAGAAGGGUGGAAAUUUGUGUUUUGGUCUGAUGUGUCCAAAUUUGAUAUUUUUGGUUCCAACCGCUGUGUCUUUGUGAGACGCAGAGUAGGUAAACGUAUGAUCUCCGCAUGUGUGGUUCCCACCGUGAAGCAUGGAGGAGAUGUGAUGGUGUGGAGGUGCUUUGCUGGUGACAUUGUGAUUUAUUUAGAAUUCAAGGCACACUUAACCAACAUGGCAACCACAGCAUUCUGCAGCAGUACGCCAUCCCAUCUGGUUUGGGCUCAGUGGGACUAUCCUUUGUUUUUCAACAGGACAAUGACCCAACACACCUCCAGGCUGUGUAAUCCCCUAACAUUUCUUAACCUGUUUUUAGUUUGUCAUUAUGGGGUAUUGGGUGUAGAUAGAUGAGGUAAAAAAAACGAAUUCAUUUUAGAAUAAGGCUGUAACAAAAUGUAGAACAUUUUAAGUGGGCUGAAUACUUUCCGAAGGCACUGUAAGUUCUGUACGUAUAUAUUUGCAUUAACGGUUCCCUUUGUCUUCACAGCACCCUCAGAUGAUGAUGAUGAGGUGAUUACUAUGAUCAAAGAGCUUCUGGAUACCCGAAAGGCCCACAGUGCAGGAGGAUGGUGGAGAUGUCCUGUAUUGCGGCUUUGAGGAUGGCAUUGUGAAGCUGAAGCUGCAGGGCUCCUGCACCAGUUGCCCCAGCUCCAUGGUUACACUGAAGAGUGGCAUCCAGAAUAUGUUGCAGUUCUAUGUCCCUGAAGUGGAAGGGGUAGAGCAGAUGAAGGAUGAGCAAGAGGAAGUUGUCCAAGGCUGAGUCCAAUGGAAACGACUGACUCUACAGACAUUCUUCUUACCCUCUCCCCUCCAGCACCCACUCCUGACUCCAUCCUGUAGUGGAUUAAUGAGCAUCGUAGAGUCCUGUCUAAAGCACAGCAGUGGUAAAACAAGAACUGCAGGGUUAUUUGGAGAGAUUUCUCAUUGAACUUCAUAGCAAUUCUCAGAGAUUGUCAGCUGUCAAGUCAUUCUGGCUAUGUGUUUCAGUGGGUAAGAAGUAGUGUCUUUGUCCUGAUGCUUGCUUUGAAAGGCUUCUAAGGUGAAGGAUGCCAGCUUGUCUGACGAUUUAUUUUUUACAGUUUCUAGUAUUAUCACACCAUAUAACUCAGUAAGUAUUGGUUAUUACAGGCCCAAUGCAGCCGUUUGUAUAUCAUUAUCAACUCAUUUCUGGGUAACAAUUAAGUACCUUAGGGUAAAAGAUUUCCAUUCAAAUGGGCAAAAUAGCUUUUUAGCAAAAAACUACAUCAAGUAAGGAUUUUGCAAAGGGGAGAAUGGAGAAGUAGCUGUCAUUGUCAGAGAGGUUUGAAACUCUUUAUUGGUCUAUUCAUUUACCGCAUGGUGAUGUCACCAUGGAAAGCCGAAACUCCCACGCAUGCAAACCUGCUGUUUAGGAGGUCCUGUGUAGAUUGUAUUUUCAUCCAGCAGCUAUCAGGAAAUAACACUGAUAAAAUUGUUUCACUCCUUUACAGUGUUUGGUUCAUCAGCUGUUUAAGCUGUUUAAUAUAUACAUUUUGACUGCACUGAGCCUUUAAAAAAGCGCAACAACACAAAUGUGCACACUGUAUAAUGUAAAUAAAUCAAAUGCAUUGAAUUAAGUAUGAAAUUAUUUUCUUGAAUGCCCUGAAUGUAGUUCUUUCUUGAACUGCACUGUUGGUUCAGAGCUUGUAAGUAAGCAUUUCAACUAAGGUCUACACGUUAUAUUCGGCGCAUGUGACAGUUUGAUAUGAUUUGAAAUUGGCAACCAAAUAAUCCGUCAACCUGACAGGGCAAAUGGUGCACAGAUGGAGUAUGGUCUGGAGGAAAGCUUGAGUUUGCGUUGGUUUUUAAGUUUGUUAUUAUUAUGUGAAUGUAUAAUAAGC